rnacentral:lncRNA from 1 species
AUGAAAUUCACUGAUAUUAACUCGCAGAGAUAGGUUGCGGGAGGUUUUCCCUAGAGAACGUGGAUUUAGUAUUUAGGAACCCUAAUUAGAACAAUUUUAUUAGAGGUGGUCAGUUUAUGUAAAAUAUAAUUAUUUCAAUUCCCGCUUGAGAUGAAAAGAUAGCGGGAUUUUAAUUUUCACUAAAUAAAUAUAUUUUUAGAGUUUUCUUAUCAUUUGUGUGCUGAUCCGUAAGCAUAAAAAUUAAGUUAGUUAGGAUCACAAAAUUAUACUGGGGCAGCAUAUAGAUUUCCUUAACCGUAUAUGUGCUCACUUGGCGUGCUUGACACCUGGACGCGUUCAUGAUAUAUAUCAAGCGCACACACAGAAAACACACACACUUGAGUAUGCAUUUAACAUGGACAUACAGCUCAAGCUAGAGUAGGACACAUGGAUGCCCAAGAGCCUUUGUCACCGACAACAACUAUAUAUUUUCUGUUUGACAAAGAAAUUUCAUAUUUUAUGUUAUACCUUUUCAGUGACUUGAGAUGUAGAAUGUUUAAGAAGAUCAGAGAUAGAGAGCUCAUGGAAUUAUUUGACAACAAAGCCCACCAUGUGUUUAUUGAAGUGACCAUCGAAUGCUAUGCAACAUAAAUAUUUAGGCACUAUUACUUCCAUCAUAUUCUGCACCUAAUUAAUAAGUUACAAACAAACAAAGAAAACAAAACCAACGGAAGAGAAUAAUGUUAAAAAAAACGAUACGAAAACCAGGAGAAAAGGAAGAGAUCAAAAGCAUAAAAAACAACUUGUAAAAAUAAUUCAUCAUCAAAAUAGUCUUUAACGUUCUAAAAACCGAUAACCAAAUAAAUAAUUAAAUAUCUCCUCAAGAAGAAACAGAGAUGCUAGGUUCGAAACCAUCUUCCAACGGCUAUGCGUCAUUUGAAUCACCCAUGUCAUACACAUCUCGAGGUUGAACAUGAACAGCAAUAUUCCACUCUACUUCAAAAGGAUCUUUCACAUAAUAAACCAUUUUUGCCUAAGACGCUAAUAUAUAUGGUUCAUCCCCUUCUUCUUCAGUGGGUAAAAAACGUGAAAAGUUUACCAUAUGAUGACCAUACGCAUCCUGCUUAUAACCUCGUUCUGUACGAGUGUCCAUCCAGUUACACUUAAAUAAUACAACUUUGAAAACUUCAUAGUAAUUUAGCUCCAUAACUUCAAUCAGAUUUCCAUAGUAAUUAACAGUUCCUGUUCUUGGGUUUGAAUCACGAGAACUAGCAUAGCUCAUAGUCUCAGCAGCCACAUACACACCACUAUUUUGUGUUUUCAGGUUAGCUUCUCUUUCUGUUGCCCGAAAUUUGAAACCAUUGACAUUGUAAGCUGUGUACUUUAAAACUUUCUCAGAUGGACCCAUAGCCAAGCAUCGUAAAUCAUCAGUUAUCCCAUCUAUCUCAUUAGUCUGUACUUUCUGUCUGAUCCAUUCUGAAAAAUUAAUAUGAACUUCUCGGUCAAUGUCGAUAGCACGAUUCCUCCUGCCCUGAUGAGAUUGUUUUGUCAACAAUUCAUUUUUGUAUUUCCUAUACAAACAAUUAAAAAACAUGUACAUUAGGACGUCAAGAAAAAAUAACUAAAAUAAUUAUAGAACCUUACUCUCUUAAGUGAUCAAGUAGUUGACAGUUGACUAAUAUAUGUCGAUGUGCUUGCUGCCUCUCUACAUGAUUAAGAGAAUAAACUUGACCUGCUCCAACAAAUCUUCCAUGGUUUGGAAAAAUAUGUGGAAGUUCUGAAUUUGUUCUUAUACUAAUCUCAACUGGAGGUUGAUCAUCAACGCGUCCAAUCCGAUUAAAUCGUGUCUCUAUAUCAUUUAGAUACAUUGAGCAAAAUGUUAUACACUCAUCAGCUAAAUAUUGCUCACUUAUAGAACCUUCAGGUUUGGCGCGAUUUCGAACAUAUGAUUUGAAGUAUCCUAGACAUAUACAGACAUAUACAUAAUAAAAACAACGCACCUCUCAAUCGGAUACAUCCAACGAAACGGAACUGGUCCACCAAGUUUUGCUUCUUCUGUCAGAUGUACUAUUAAAUGUACCAUCACUGUGAAAAACUAUGGAGAAAAAAACAUCUCCAGGCGACAUAAAGUCAUAACAGUACGAUCUUGUAAUUUAUCAAGCUCAUCUAUAUCAAGAACUUUUGCAGAUAUAUCUCUAAAAAUUUGGCAAAGCUCGACAAUGGCUGAUGACACAUCUGUAGGGAGCAGAUUCCGAAUUGCGACUGAUAAUAAAUCUCUCAUUAUCACGUGACAGUCGUGGCUUUUUAAACCUGAUAGCUUUCGACUGUUAACAUCAACACAACUUGACAAGUUAGAAGCAUAACCAUCUGGCAGUUUAACAUUCUUUAAGACACUUAAGAAAAUGUCUUUCCCAUGAUUGUUAAGAGAAAAACAUGCAGCUUGAUAUUUCUCAUUAUCAUCAGGCCACAAGUCAGAACGUAUAUUUAGUUCACGAAGAUCUUUUCUGGCAUUCAGAUUAUCUUUCGUUUUUGUUUUGUCAUCCAACAAUGUGUAGACUAAAUUAUCAAACACAUUCUUCUCUAUAUGCAUGACAUCCAAGUUAUGUCGCAGCAUUGUAAAUUCCCAGUAAGGCAACUCAAAAAUAUGCUUUUUUUCUUCCACUGCUUAGUACUAGAUCUUCCGGCAUCACUUCUGUCUCUCUUUCUUCUCACUACCACAGACUUAUCUUUUUUACCAAGAGUAACAUUAAAUUGCUCUAAUUGAUGAAUAAUUGUGGAACCUGUCAAUGUGGCUGGUGGGGAUCUGGUUUCUAAUUUUCCAUCAAAAUCUGCUUGAUUCUGCCGAAAGCCAUGAUCUAGAGGAAGAAAACGACGAUGACCAAUAAAACAAUUUUUUUUUUCCAUGUCGUAAACGUUGUCCGAUUCCAUCAAAGUUACAGGUUGGGCAAGGUGAUGCUGUAUACGUAUUCCAACCCGACAAAUUUCCUAAACCCGAAAAAUCGCUUAUUGUCCACAUGAUGGCUGCUCGCAUGUCAAAUGUUUGUUUUGUGGAAGCAUCUAGCGUUUCAAUACCAUCAGACCAUAGCUCCUUCAGAUCUUUGAUAAGUGGCUGCAAGUAAACAUCAAUAUCAUUACCAGGCAUGUGUUUUCCGGGGAUAACCAUCGAGAGAAUCAUUGACGUCUGCUUCAUUGACAUCCACGGUGGAAAGUUAUAAGGAAAUAAUAUCACUGGCCAGAUGCUAUAACUACUACUCAUUGUACCAAAUGGGUUAAAACCAUCAGUCGCCAACCCUAGUCUGACAUUUCUUGGAUCAGAUGCAAAGUCAGGAUAUUUCUUAUCAAACUCCUUCCAAGCCCUUCAGUCUCUUGGAUGUCGUAGUUUACCAUCAUUGUUAGUAGCAGAUCCAUGCCAUCUCAUGUGGGCAGCAGUUUUUGAUGACAUAAAUAAACGCUGUAACCGUGGCUUCAGGGGAAAGUAACGCAAAACUUUUGCAGGAGAUCUCUUCUUCUUUUUUCCUGAUCUAGAUACUUCUGUGCUCUUUGUAUCUUUCCAACGAGAGGCCUCACAGACUUUACAAACUUCCCUUUCUGCAUCAGCUUCCCAAUAUAACAUACAAUCGUUUGGACAUGCAUGAAUUGACUCAUAAGUCAUUCCUAAUUUGCGAAUAACCUUUUUCAUGUCAUUAAAUGAAUCUGGCAAUUUGGCAUGUGAAAAUGCUUCUUUCAUCAAAUCAAGCACCAUGGAUAUCCCCUUGUCACUAAUGCCACACAUACAUUUUAUAUGGUAUAACUUCAGUAUAAAGGACAACUUCGUGAAUUUAUCGCAUCCAGGAUAUAGCUCUUGAUUGUAAUCAGCAAACAUCUCAUCAAAACCUUCUCCUUUUUUAGAAUUUCCACUUGAAGCUGAUGGUCUAUCAGUGUCCAUAGGUUGCCCAGACGACCCUUCUUCAUGUUCCUCAUUCAUAUUUGCACUAAUAUCUGGAAAAAUAUCAUCCAAGAGGUUGAAAGUUGAAUCUAGUUCAACAUGAGCACUAUCAGAAGGUACUCUUGCAUUUUCCGUGACACACAUAUCUUCUCCGUGUACUAUCCAACUUGUGUAAGAACUUAAAAAGCCAUGACAAAUCAAAUCACCUUCGAUAUCUUCCCUUGUCUUAGAUUUGGCUAGAGAACAACGAGUACAUGGACAUUUUACCAUGGGUGCAUUAGAUUUACCAAAUGCAAAAUCCAAGAAAUUUUUCACUCCUAAUCUGUAAUCUUGCGAUAAACGUGGUUUGUUUAUCCAUGAUUUAUCCAUUAGAACCUAAAAAAAACAGACUUUCACAAUUAGUAGACUUUUAGAAAUUCACGACAAACAAUUGAACUUCAAAACCCAACAAAUUUCAUAUCAGUAAGUAAUGGGAGAACAAUAUAAAUAAAUUACCUCAAUUGUAUGCAACGUCUGAUUUUCUGAGAUGCUCACUAUUGAGUUUUGAAACCAAAAGACAAAACAAUCUUUGCCAGAGAAAGAGAUAUAUAUUUAGAUGAGGUUUAAUUGUUAAGAGGAAAAAUUAGAUUCAAGUCCACUUUAGCUCUAUUAAACCUUCUGGCAACAAUGCUGAGGAAAUUUGGAGAAAGAAACCUUUUUUCCACCAAUAAGUGCCACCGGAUACAAUCAAGCCUGAUCAGAUGGAAAAAAAAGUUUCUUUCUCCAAAUUUCCUCAGCAUUGUUGCCGGAAGGUUUAAUAGAGAAACAUCUACGUAGAAAAUCAAACAGAUCUAGUGAAGUGACGCCAACAAAAUAGUGACAACCAUUUUCCUUUUAGUUGUAUUGUUUCUAAUGCCUUGAGUCACCUGUCAUUCAAUUCCAUACAUGAAAAAAAAAGCUCUUUUAUUUCACUGCUAUCGCAACCACAAUAACAGGGGCGAAAUGAGACAAACCAAGCAACUUUUUGUUUCGUUAAGAACAAAGCUAUUUCUUUCAUUGGAUUUUGCUCAUGAAGAAGUGAUCUCAUGUUAUCUAGAAAGUGGAAACCAUUUUUUUUAUGAGCUUUCUUUUUGUUCUUGAGAAGACCAUAUUUUAGGGAUCUCUACAAUGAUGCAUUUUUGAAAAGUAUCGUAUAAAUCCUCAGAUUUGAGUUGGAUAUUAAUUAGUAAAUAAUUGGAGAAGAUUGAAGAUGAUAAGCAAAACAAUGAAGAUGAAAGAGAAAUAGAAAAUAUAACAAAGUCACUUAAUGGUCCUAAGAUCCAUCAUAGUUCUUUAAAGAUCUUUGCUUUGAUCUGUGUCGCGACUCCGUCUUUGCUUUGCAUGAGACGAAGAGAACGCUUUGUGAUCAUCAGCAUUAUUAAACACAGAUUUUUUUGACGAAAUAAAGAAUAUCGAAAAACAGGUCGACUAUAACAAUUUUAUGAUGCUUAUGAAUAAAAUGUUUUGAUUGGUACUUCAACUUUUUUCAUUAAUUGACAUGGAAACUCCACGAUGCUUUAGAAAGCUGUUGUGUCAUCCCUGGACUUAUGAUAUUAUUGUGUUGAUUUGCUUACUUUCGUGUCGACUAAAACCAUCUCAACAGUCUCUCUCCCAUAGCAACAUAUAUUAUCUCCAAAGAUGAAUUAUUUUAAUCUUAAUCUUCCACAUGGAUUUGAAUAACUUUCAAAUCAGAAACAAAAUCAAAAGAAGCUAUUAUAAACUAAAGUUUUUAAUGGUAGAACUUUUUAAAAUUGUACCCUAAAAUAGUAGAUUAGCACACAAUAUAUGGUCAUUAUAUAGUCAUUAUAUAGUAUUACCCCAAUAUGUAAAUUUGAAAAUUAUAUAUCAUGUUUAUAAUUUUAUUAUUUUGAAUAAUAAUCAUAGCUAUUAAAACUAACCUUUUUAUUUUAAAUAGUUUGAACAUCAAAAGUCUUGGUAUUGUAUAAUCUUAGAAGAUUAUUAAGAUAUAUUUUUAAUUCUAUAAAUUUUAUUAUAAGUUUUCAAAAAGUGUUGUCAUGACAUAAUUUUUGAUUAAGUACGUAAAAGUUUAAAAUAACAAAGAAUACAACCAAGAAUACAACAAAUAAGUUUUAUUAUUCUUCACUGAUGUUUUAUAUAUGUAUCCUUUUCUUUUUCCUAUUACAAAAUAAGUAUGUCAAUUUUAUUAUAAUCAAAACUAUAUCAAUAGAUUCUUAACUCUAGUCGUGUAUUAAUAUAUUGUUCUUGUUUUUUAAUUUAUUUUAUAAUAAACUUUUUCAUUGACUAAUAUUAUUUUAAAUAAUUUACCAUAUAGUUUUAUUAAAAUCAAGGCUAUAAGAAUUAUAUUAAUAGAGUAUAUUAACUUUAGUCUCGUAUUAGUAUCAUAUUCCAAUUUUUCAAUUUUAUAUUAUAAUAAAUAUUUUCAUUUAUUGAUAUUAUCUUAAAAGACUUACUAUAUAUUUUUCUGUUUUUAAAUAUACAAAUAUUUUAAUCAUUUCUGAAAGUAAUAACUCAACUAUACAAUCAACAUUUGUCACUGAAAAAUGACUGAAUGAUUUAAAAAUUGUAUAUUUGACUGUUUUGCAUUCAUUAGACACAUUUUAGAAUAUAUAUGUAGUGAGUAUAACAAAAUAUUAUUAGGUUUAGGUUAAUUAGUAUAACACAUUUUAGAAAAUGUAUAUAUAUUGUGAGUAUAUAAUUUAUUGUAUCCAUUAUUAAUAUAAAUACGUUAAAAUCGUUUAUAUAAUUAUUUCUAUUAUACCAUAUGUAUUUAUAUGUAUAUUUUAAAUUUUUAUAACAUAAUCUAUGAUAUUUAAUUGUUUCUAUAAAUAAAUUAUGUUAUUUUUUCUAUUUUUAAAAAUGUUUAAUUGUUUUUAUGGUAAUAUUGAUUAUUAGGUAGUUCUAGGAUUAGUUUCGUUUUAAAAACUUUAAUUAAAUAAAUGAAAAUUCAAAUACCAACAACCAAUCAAAUUAAGAGAAUUAAUUAUAAAAUUCACUUAUGAAUGACACCUAAGCAAAAAUCACUUAAGUGACUUCUCAAUUAAUAUAUAGUAGGAUAGUAUAGUAUAUAUUGAAUAACUUCUGCCACAAUUAAAUGGAAUAUUGUUUAAAUUACUAUUUGGAAAAUGUUUUGAUGCAUUCCUUUUAUCAUGCUUGCAAGGUCAAUCUUUCAUUUAUUACAGGAAUCAAUCCAUUAUUUCUCUAUAUAAAUUGAAUCAAUUUGAAAUCUUAUUGAGAUAUUUGCAUUGCAUAGCAAAAUAUCAAGCUGUUAAUAAUGUGAAUGACUACCUACGGUAGAAUUAUUUUAGGUAAUGUAUAUGGAACUGUACACAGAGCCGGACUGGAGGGGAGUCCCACGAAACCUGUUGUUUUAAAACCGGACUGGAAGCUGAACCGGAAUUUUUUUGGGUCACGGUUCAAUAUAGUUCGACCGGGUCAAACCUGGUUCAAUACUUUGGUUUAAUAUAUUUUUAGUAUAUAAAUUUUAAAGUAAUGUUAUUAAAUAUGAUACAUAAUUAAAAUAUAAAUAAAUUUUAAACACAAAACAUUAUAAAUAUAAACUAGUUUUAUGUUUAAAUAUAUAUAUAUAUAUACACAUUAAUAUAGUGUUAUAUAUAAGUAUUAAUUAUAUAAUAUUUUUGCUAUAUAGAUAAAUAAAUUUAAUUGUAUAAUUAAAAUUUGAACAUAUAUUUAUGUUGCUAAAACUUACAAAUUUAAUUUUUCCAUAAAGAAAAUAAUUUUUAGACUAAAUAUUUGUUUUAAAAUUAUAUAUUUGACCCAAAAAAAAUUAUUUAUUUUUUUAAAAAGUUAAAUUAAUUAUUUUUUCUAAUUUUAAAUAGGGCUCCGAGUUCGCCAGGACCGGCUGACUGUACAUCAGGUUAACUUAAAUAGUUAUUCUUUGUGUGUAAAUCACGUAAAAGACAAAAUUUUGGGAACAUAUGCACAUUAGGAAAAUAGUGUAAGCAGUAAUCAAGAUUCAUUUCAAAUUUUUAUAAUUGAAACAUGGGUUACACACCAAAAUUUCCUCUAUACCAACCAUAAACCGCCCACAAUUUCGCCUUCCCUAAAUAUAACUACUAAUCAUUAAAGUUUUCUUUUUGGUGUAAAGUGUAAAAUAGUCAUGAAAAUUAAUAUUCUAAAUUUUGUAUUUGAAAUGUGGGUUACAGUUUAGUAUUUUCCCACAUAAUUUCAUAUGAUUAUAUUUGAAAUCUUAUCAAUAAACUUUCAAAAUAUAUUGCCAUUUUUGAACAAUGUUUAAGAACAACUUAAAUGAUGAAAAAGUGACAUCAUAUAAAUUAAGAUUCGUUUAGAAUCGUGUAUUAGGCUGUCUUUAUGAAUUGAAAUUGUGAUUUUAGUGUGUUAGUGUUCUUACGUUAAGCAGAAAACAUAUGGUGAGAAAAAUCUUAUGUAUAUGAUUGUAAAACACAUCGACAUUCUUAGAGCAACUAAUGAAGAAAAAGUGAUAGCAUACAAUUCAAUUUAUUCUAAAAGUGAUAGCACAAUUCAAUUUAUUGUAGAAUUGUGUAUUGAGAGUUUGAGAUGUCCUUAUGAAUUGAAUUAGUAUAAUUUGUUUGUGUUCUUAAGUGAGCUGCAAAUUCUAUGCAUACGAACUAACAACAAUUUUCAGCAGGCACGACAAACCCAUUUUUGUGUGCCAUAGGACAAAAUCAUUUUCCUUUUUUUUUGUAUGACGUUCAAAACAGUAUAUUCAUCGGGGGUGGGGCGCGGCAAACGAUGUGGGACUUCGUACGAACACAAUACUGUACAAUUAAUUACAACCGGAUGAUAUAAUCCACGUACUGCAUGGAGUGAGUUUUUUUUAAAUAUGUUGCAUUAAAAUAUUAUAAACAAUACACAUUUUGUUAUCAAUAAUUCUUUUAUACAUUUGAUUAAGGUUGGACAUUCAGAUACCAUUUGGUUCGUUUCGCUUUGGUUCGGAUCUUUGCGAGUUCGAUUCGGUUCGGAUCUUUGCGGAUUCAUUUUGAGUUUGGGUUUGAAUAACCCAUUUAAGAAAAAAAAGUUCAUAUAUACUUUCAUUUCUCAAAAUCUAAAAAUUAAAAUAAUAUAUAACAUAUAAAUUUGAAUAAUGUAUGCCAUAAUAAUUAAACUUAACAUAAAAAUUAGAUAAGAAAUCAACAGAUAUUUUUGGUAUUUUUAGUACCGUUUAACUAUUUUAAACAUGUACUUUUAACUAUUUGUAUAUAUUUGCAAGUAUUUUGGACAAAUUAAAAACAUCUUAUAUAUUUUGUAUAUUCUUUUAGAUAUUAAAUUUAAAAAUAACUGAUAUAUUUAAGUAUAUAAAUCUGGUUUGAAUAUAUAUGGAUACCCUAAAUAUUUUGUUUCGGAUGGGUCCGUUAUGGUUCUCUAGGUAUCAAAAUUUUGAACCCGUUCGGAUAUCUAACCAAUUUUGGUUAAAGUUCAGUAUUACUUUUUGGAUUAGAUUUGGUUCAGUUUUUUAGAUUUAGUUUUUCUGCCCAAGCCUAUAUUUUUUUAUUGUAACAAAAUUUUAAACGUAAGUGAUGAGGUUCAUAUUGAUUUUGGGUAUGCAAAACCAAAACACAUUAUUCUAUGUAUGUGGCCUAUUUAGUUAAUCAUUAGUAAUUGUUUUAGGUAUAUUUAAGGAAAACAAUGGGCGGAACUAAAGAAAACGUUAACAUUUCAGAUAAUCUAUCAACACUUUCAAAAUAUUCUAUGUUGGUGUUGUGAUGAAAAGAAAAUGGAUAAGGGUUAGGAAAGCCAUUGUCUCUCAAUUAAUAUAUAUAUAUAUAUAUGAGAUUAGAGUGCAAUCCAUGUGUUUCGCUAGGUGAUUUCAAUAGUUUCUAUAUAAAUCUUCGUUGUAUUCAUCUAUUGUAAGAUUUUCAAAAAAUAUUAAUUAAUAAAAUCUUACAAUUUCUAGAGUAAUUAAUUGUAUCUCUAUCAAUAUAUAUGAUAUUAGAGUAAUCACAUUAAUCAAAACAUAAAAUUAAAAUAUUAAGAUUUCAAUACUUUUUCAAUGCAAAAUUCAAAAUUAACAUAUUUAUUUAUUUUUAUGUUGUAUAUAUAUAUAUAUGAAUAUCUAUUAAUGAAACUUCAUAUUCAUACGAUUUAUGAUCAUUUAUUUUUGGUUUCAAAUUUAUAUUUUGCUUGAACCAAAAAUAAAUAAACCAGUGAUCACAAAAUUUACAAUGUGGGACUGUUACAUUUUUUAGUUAUUCAUAGACGCUUUAAAAAUUCAAAAUAUAAAUAUAAGAAAAAAUCUAGAUUUUUAUUAUAUUUUAAUGUGAUUGUUUAAUUUCUUUUAAUAAUAUAAAAUAUAAAAAAAUACAAAAAUUGUUAUCAAACAAUGUGGAGAUGGUUCAUAUUAAUUUUGGGUAUGCAACAAUUUUUAAAUCCAAACACAUUCUACUAUGUACGUGGUCCAUUUAGUUAGUCAUUAGAAAUGGUUGUAGGCCCAUUUAAGAAAAACUAUGGGCUGAACUAAAAAACCUUACUGUUUCAGAUUGUCAAAAUCGACACUUCCAAGUUAUUCUAUGUCGGUGUUAUGAUGAAGAGAAAAGUGGAUUAGGGUUAGGAAAGCAAAUUUGUUCUGCAAUCCAUGUUUUCGUUAGGUGAUUUCAAUAGCUUCUAAAUAAAUCUUUGAUGUAUUGAUUUCUUGUAAGAUUUUUCGAAAAUACUAAAUAAUAACAUCUUACACUUGCUAGAGUAAUCAAUUGUUUCUCAACUAAUAUAUAUGGGAUUGGAGUAAUCACAUAAAUUAAAAAAAUACCUCUUAUUUAUUUACAAUAUUUUUAUGGUAAAUAAAUCAAAAUAAUUAUUUUAUUUAUUUUAUAUGGUAUAUAAUUAAAUUUUAAUGAUAUUGACAUAAAUAUAUAGUAUAUUUUAAUAUAAAUAUUUAUUAUCAUAUGGUUUUAUUAACAUUUGUAUAUUUGCUGUAACAAAAAAAUUAAAUCAUUAAUCACAAAAUUUUGAUGUGAUAUUUUUUCAAUGCAAAUUUCAAAAUUAACAUAUAUGUGUAUUUUUAUAUUGUAUAUAGUAUAAUCUAAACGAUAUAUAUAAUACAAAUAUGUAUUAUAUGAGAAGUCAUAUUCAUACGAUUUUAUGAUCAUUUGCUUUUUGUUAUAACAAAAGCAAAAAUUAGUUACAAUAUACAAACACAAUAUUGUACAAUUAAUUACAAUAUACUAAAGGCCUGACUGAUUUUCCCGCUAACAGCUUUUGCGGUUGGUAACGGUUGUUGGCGUUUUACAACAAUCACAACUACAAACUGCGAGAUGGUAAAACAAAAACUUCUAAAAACUAUAUAAAUAUAAAAAUAAAUAAUUCUAAAUAAGGUUUAAAAAUUGAGAUAAUAUAAAUACUAAUUUAUAUAUAUAUAUAUAUAUAAUUUUCGUACAAUGAUUUUAUAAAUAUAAUUUUAUAUUUAUUAUAAUAAUAUGAUUUACAAAUAUUAUUUUUGUAAUUAAAUUUUUGUAUAUUAAAUAAAUUUUUAUUGCAUAUGUGGGUACGUAAACCAAUCAAAAAUGACCCGCAAACGCAAUAAUUUUUAAAUAUUGUGUCAGUCAUACAAAAUACUUAAAAACACUUAAAACCACAACACCCACUUCCGCAAACUUCCGCAUCCGCAACCGUAACCACUGCAUUUGAAUCAGUCAGACCCUAAGUCAAAGUAUUAGUGGCACCAAUGACAUUAUAUGUAAUAAGUGUUGUUAAUUAAGGGUAACUGUAAAAGUUGGCUGAGAAGUAAUGUGAAAUUAGCACAUUAUGAAAUCAUCAUAAUAACAUGCUUGUAAUUAAAAUACCAAAGCUAAGUCAUUCUUAAAAAAAAUUCAUUUUUAAUAAUGAAGGGAUAGGGGUCAGUAUGUAUUCAAUACCGAGAGUUUGUGUAUUUUGAAUAACUUAUGUUUUUAAUUAGAAUUUUUUUGGUUAUGCUUUAUAUGUGAAUCAUUAUUUUGAUCAACAGUAUUUGAUGUUAGAAUAUUUGAAUUCUAUUAUGUUGAAAUUAACUAAAUUCCAUAAUUCAUUCGUUGGGAUUAUUUUAGUGAAGUUUUGUUUUACUUUAUUUUAGCAGUGUAAAUUUUUUGAUUUGUUUUAUUUUAUGACAUAUGUUUUAUUUAUGCACUUAUAUUUUAUUUGCCAUGUUAUUUUUUCGUUGUGUCUCUAGAUUUGUACAAAUAUAUACUUUUUAAUUCCGUAUCAGUAUUGAAUUUAUACUUAAUUGUUUUAGGAAUUCAUGAUGUAAAUUAAAAAAAAAAACAAAUUUCACAUGUAUUUAAAUAAAAUUACCUUAAUAUUUUGUUUAUAAGCAAAAUCCUCCAUGGAUCCUUUUAAUUUUUCAUUCUUAUGAAUUUUCUUUUAUAUUUUUGAAAAUUUUAUAUAUCUUUUUGGUUUAAUAUGUAUUUCACUAAAUUUUAGUUAUUUAUUUUUAAAAAUUCUAAAAUCUUAAUUUUAAUUAUAUAUUAAAUUUUGGUUGUAGAUGUCCUUAAAUUUUAAAUUUUCCUAAAUUUGAGUUUGAUGACAAAAAAUAAUUUUAUUAUAUUCACUCUUUUAAGCUCGAGUUUAAUGAAUCCAUCACAUCUCUAAAAAUACUUCACAAAGUAUGUCAACAUCUAACGCACACCAGUGAUAUAUAAUGCUUGAUCACCCAAGCACACUCACAACUCACCAUGAGCUUCAAGUAAUGGCUAACUCUACCAUAUAAAGCGUCAACUCACACGCCACUAAACUAAGUCUACAUCGGACUCUAUUAGGAACCACUUCGUCAGACCAUAAGUCGACAUUCAACACAGAACUUGCUCUUCAAGACCAGAAUUUGCUCUCCAAAAUUUUCAAAUGCACUUAAUGAAACUUUCCAUUUCUUUAAUGGAAAAUUUUAUCUUCAAACAAUUUUUUUUUUGUUUUAUGGAAAAUGUCUAUUUGUCUUCGAACAUAUAUUAUCUUUAUUUUUGCAAGCUCAAAAAAUCCACAUUCAUCACGAAACAUAAACUCCAACAUAGUCCAUCUUCAUGAUACAUGCAUGAACUACUUCAUCUUAAUAAUUUACGAACUGAUAUAGAACAUCCCAUCAAACUCUAUCUUCAUCUCGGAGUUGGAAUUUAAAUUUCGAUCCUAUUUUUAUUAUAUAUUUGUUUUGUAUGAAAUUUAGCUUUUAGAAACUGAAAAACUCUCUAAACAAUAUUUUUGAAAUGUUUUUAAGAGAAAAAUAUCAACAUUUUAUUUUUUUAAUGAAAAUGUCAAAAUUAGUCAAUGCGACUAUCACAGCCAUUAAUUAUUAUUUAUAAGUUAUAAUUGACUCAGAAAUUUGAAAGACAAGAAUAUAAAAUUUUAGCAAAAAUAUAUGGUGAACAACUUUUUUUUUUGUAAAAAAACAUGAUAACGCAGUAAUUAAUAAUAGUGAUGAUUUGAAAAUACCUUAUUUGUGAUUUGAAUUUUGAAAAUUGCAACCUUAUUUUUUAUUUUUUGAAAAUUACACUUUCUUAUAUAUGAAAAGACAGUUUAAUCGUAAUUUAAUAUAAAAUAAAAAUUAAAUAAGUUUAAUCGAAAUUAUUUAUGUUUGAAAUAGUUAUAUAUUUAAGAUAAAUACAUGUCACUGAUUUAAGAGUUUUUAAAUUACCAAAUAAAUAAAUUUCUGAAAUAACUUAAAUAAAAAACUUACACAAUUAUGUUGCAAGCAACAAUUCUAUUCAUCAUACUACAUACAAACUUUUUAGCAUUAUAACUAUUUGAUCAAUAUUUUAUAACUACAUUUUUGCUAUACCUAUAUUUAGUUUGUAAAACAAAAACUCACGACUAAGAAACUGAUGUUUACGAAUUUAAUAAAACAAAAAACUCACGACUCCAAAGAAGUUACUAAGAUUUUUAUAUAACUAUAAUCGUCUUUAGUUACAAUUUGUCACGAUGUUCUUGUGGCAUUCAUGAAGACCGACUGUGUUUUAUUUCUUCUUCUGAAGUACAAUACCAACUGUUAGUGGGUGUUAUUUUAAUAGGUAUUAGUUUGUUGGAUGUUUUCCAACAUAUUUACGUAGAUCAUACUGUAAACACAUGAACAAAUUGAUAACAUAUUUGUAUACUUGGAUGUUGUGGUGUAUGACAGAUCAUACGUGUGAAGAAUGUUUUCGUACUUUCAAAUAUUGUAAGAACAAUGUUAUGCUCCAUGUUCAUCCCGUUUUUGUUUUUGUCUUUUUUUUUCUUGGCGAACAAAGACUAUUCUAUUACUCAGAUUUGAGGUGGUAUAUGUAACCAGACCGGAAUAGAACAACCAAUAAAACAUAGAUCUCUAUAGAAAGACCUCGCAGUCCUAACUAAAAAGUCCGAAAUAUGAUUUUGCGCUCGUGGAAUAUAAAUGAUCUUGAAGUCCAGAAAACAUAUUUGCAGAGUCUCUAUCCUCUCCAAUUAUGUUGCAAAGCUUGGCCAAGCAUGGGGGCCUUUAAUCAUGGCGAUCAGAUCUUUGCAAUCCGUCCCAAAGCUCUGACAUGUUGAAUACUGGAGCAUACUCUCCAUCGACUAUCGUAGUGCUUCCACUUCUGAAUGCAAGGCAGACUCUCGCCGUGGAUAAUUUUGUGUCCCCAUUAGUUGAACUUUUCCCAAGCUGUCCAUCCAAACUCAUCCACACCCACUGAAUUGUGAUGUAGAUGUCCAAGACCCAUCUAUCAUGCAUAUAUUACCAAGCUUAAGACUUGGGGUUCCUCAAUAAUGUGAUCUUGUGGAAUAGGUGGCACCAUCUCGUUUGCGUUGAACCAGACAUGACACACACACUCUGCAUAACGAACUAGAUCCAGUGGAUCCCUGUAUAUCCCCCUAAAGAGCUUGUCAUUUCGGCCUUCCAAAUAUACCAAAUUAUCCAGGGAUAAGGAUCCCUGUCGAAUUCUGGCUCGACAAUGCUAUUCUUUCUCCAUAAUAGAUAAUCCAUAUUAGCAUAAACACUCGGCAUCGGAAAGAUAUCAGGACUUGUGGGUGUUGCUGAUAGGGACCAAGCUUGUAGAGCUAGCAGACAUUCGAAGAUGGCAUGAGUAACAGACUCUUUUGGUUCUCCACAUCGCGGACAAUAGUUAUCGCAUCUCAUAUUACGUCGUAUCAAAUUUCUCGUUACUGCCACAUGACCUGUUAUCAAUUGCCAUAUAAGAUUACAUAUUUUCUGAGGCACUUUUAUCGUCCAAGCAAAGGCUUGAAGCUAAGUUAUAUUGGGCUCCAGUACCUCCUUCUCUUCUUCAGCCUUCAAUAAGUUUCGAGCUACCAAUAACCAGAUUUAACCGUGUACUGACUAUUUUUAGUGUAGUUCCAACAUAAUGUAUCACGACGAUGAGCUGAGCUUAUGGCCAAACUUCUUAUGAAAAGUACAUCAGCAGGGGCAACAUAAUCCUCCAGUAGUCGAACAUCCCAUUCCUUCGAUUCCUGAUCUAUAAGGUCGCUGACUCUCAUGUCCGGGUGCAAAACUGGGGCUGAAGGGCGGGCCGGUCUAGCUGGUGUUGUAGGGAUCCAAGGAUCCUCCCACACCUUGACCUCAUAUCCAGAAUGUAUCUUCUGCCUGAUUCCCAAUAGCAUUAGCUUUCGAGCAGCUGAAAUACUGGUCUACACAUAGGAUGGACUGCUUACAGAGAUUAUUCGUAAAGGCGAACUCAUUCUGUAGUAUCUUCCCCUCAAAACUUUAUCUUCAAACAAUUUUUUUUUUGUUUUAUGGAAAAUGUCUAUUUGUCUUCGAACAUAUAUUAUCUUUAUUUUUGCAAGCUCAAAAAAUCCACAUUCAUCACGAAACAUAAACUCCAACAUAGUCCAUCUUCAUGAUACAUGCAUGAACUACUUCAUCUUAAUAAUUUACGAACUGAUAUAGAACAUCCCAUCAAACUCUAUCUUCAUCUCGGAGUUGGAAUUUAAAUUUCGAUCCUAUUUUUAUUAUAUAUUUGUUUUGUAUGAAAUUUAGCUUUUAGAAACUGAAAAACUCUCUAAACAAUAUUUUUGAAAUGUUUUUAAGAGAAAAAUAUCAACAUUUUAUUUUUUUAAUGAAAAUGUCAAAAUUAGUCAAUGCGACUAUCACAGCCAUUAAUUAUUAUUUAUAAGUUAUAAUUGACUCAGAAAUUUGAAAGACAAGAAUAUAAAAUUUUAGCAAAAAUAUAUGGUGAACAACUUUUUUUUUUGUAAAAAAACAUGAUAACGCAGUAAUUAAUAAUAGUGAUGAUUUGAAAAUACCUUAUUUGUGAUUUGAAUUUUGAAAAUUGCAACCUUAUUUUUUAUUUUUUGAAAAUUACACUUUCUUAUAUAUGAAAAGACAGUUUAAUCGUAAUUUAAUAUAAAAUAAAAAUUAAAUAAGUUUAAUCGAAAUUAUUUAUGUUUGAAAUAGUUAUAUAUUUAAGAUAAAUACAUGUCACUGAUUUAAGAGUUUUUAAAUUACCAAAUAAAUAAAUUUCUGAAAUAACUUAAAUAAAAAACUUACACAAUUAUGUUGCAAGCAACAAUUCUAUUCAUCAUACUACAUACAAACUUUUUAGCAUUAUAACUAUUUGAUCAAUAUUUUAUAACUACAUUUUUGCUAUACCUAUAUUUAGUUUGUAAAACAAAAACUCACGACUAAGAAACUGAUGUUUACGAAUUUAAUAAAACAAAAAACUCACGACUCCAAAGAAGUUACUAAGAUUUUUAUAUAACUAUAAUCGUCUUUAGUUACAAUUUGUCACGAUGUUCUUGUGGCAUUCAUGAAGACCGACUGUGUUUUAUUUCUUCUUCUGAAGUACAAUACCAACUGUUAGUGGGUGUUAUUUUAAUAGGUAUUAGUUUGUUGGAUGUUUUCCAACAUAUUUACGUAGAUCAUACUGUAAACACAUGAACAAAUUGAUAACAUAUUUGUAUACUUGGAUGUUGUGGUGUAUGACAGAUCAUACGUGUGAAGAAUGUUUUCGUACUUUCAAAUAUUGUAAGAACAAUGUUAUGCUCCAUGUUCAUCCCGUUUUUGUUUUUGUCUUUUUUUUUCUUGGCGAACAAAGACUAUUCUAUUACUCAGAUUUGAGGUGGUAUAUGUAACCAGACCGGAAUAGAACAACCAAUAAAACAUAGAUCUCUAUAGAAAGACCUCGCAGUCCUAACUAAAAAGUCCGAAAUAUGAUUUUGCGCUCGUGGAAUAUAAAUGAUCUUGAAGUCCAGAAAACAUAUUUGCAGAGUCUCUAUCCUCUCCAAUUAUGUUGCAAAGCUUGGCCAAGCAUGGGGGCCUUUAAUCAUGGCGAUCAGAUCUUUGCAAUCCGUCCCAAAGCUCUGACAUGUUGAAUACUGGAGCAUACUCUCCAUCGACUAUCGUAGUGCUUCCACUUCUGAAUGCAAGGCAGACUCUCGCCGUGGAUAAUUUUGUGUCCCCAUUAGUUGAACUUUUCCCAAGCUGUCCAUCCAAACUCAUCCACACCCACUGAAUUGUGAUGUAGAUGUCCAAGACCCAUCUAUCAUGCAUAUAUUACCAAGCUUAAGACUUGGGGUUCCUCAAUAAUGUGAUCUUGUGGAAUAGGUGGCACCAUCUCGUUUGCGUUGAACCAGACAUGACACACACACUCUGCAUAACGAACUAGAUCCAGUGGAUCCCUGUAUAUCCCCCUAAAGAGCUUGUCAUUUCGGCCUUCCAAAUAUACCAAAUUAUCCAGGGAUAAGGAUCCCUGUCGAAUUCUGGCUCGACAAUGCUAUUCUUUCUCCAUAAUAGAUAAUCCAUAUUAGCAUAAACACUCGGCAUCGGAAAGAUAUCAGGACUUGUGGGUGUUGCUGAUAGGGACCAAGCUUGUAGAGCUAGCAGACAUUCGAAGAUGGCAUGAGUAACAGACUCUUUUGGUUCUCCACAUCGCGGACAAUAGUUAUCGCAUCUCAUAUUACGUCGUAUCAAAUUUCUCGUUACUGCCACAUGACCUGUUAUCAAUUGCCAUAUAAGAUUACAUAUUUUCUGAGGCACUUUUAUCGUCCAAGCAAAGGCUUGAAGCUAAGUUAUAUUGGGCUCCAGUACCUCCUUCUCUUCUUCAGCCUUCAAUAAGUUUCGAGCUACCAAUAACCAGAUUUAACCGUGUACUGACUAUUUUUAGUGUAGUUCCAACAUAAUGUAUCACGACGAUGAGCUGAGCUUAUGGCCAAACUUCUUAUGAAAAGUACAUCAGCAGGGGCAACAUAAUCCUCCAGUAGUCGAACAUCCCAUUCCUUCGAUUCCUGAUCUAUAAGGUCGCUGACUCUCAUGUCCGGGUGCAAAACUGGGGCUGAAGGGCGGGCCGGUCUAGCUGGUGUUGUAGGGAUCCAAGGAUCCUCCCACACCUUGACCUCAUAUCCAGAAUGUAUCUUCUGCCUGAUUCCCAAUAGCAUUAGCUUUCGAGCAGCUGAAAUACUGGUCUACACAUAGGAUGGACUGCUUACAGAGAUUAUUCGUAAAGGCGAACUCAUUCUGUAGUAUCUUCCCCUCAAAACACGAGCCACUAACGAAUCAGGGUAUUGAAUUAACCUCCAUAGUUAUUUUGAUAGUAAAGCCAGGUUGAACUCAUGGAUCAUGCGAAAACCAAUCCCGCUCUCUUCCCUUGGUAAACAUAUCUUUUCCCAUUUGACCCAAUGAAUUCCUCUGUUUGGGGAUUUGAGCUCCACCAGAAUUGUGCAAUGGCACUCGCGAGGUUCUCACAUAUCUCCAACAGGAGCAAGAAGCUAGUCAUAACAUAUGUUGGGAGAGCUAACAUGAUAGAUUUAAUCAAACUUCUUUUUCUCCUUUUGAAAAUCAUCUACCCGUACAUCCAUUCACUCUAUGCAUCAAUUUGUCCUUGAGAAAUGGGAAGCGUUUGCAUUUCGAUCAUGCCCUUUUUCAGUGGCCGUUUCUGAUUUUUUAUGAUUAUUCCUAGUUUUUUUGAGUUUGCGUUUUCUAUGCUUGCAUCUGCGAUUACUUUAGGAUAUCACUCCUAAAAUUAAAAUAUUUCAUUAAAAUGAGUAACAAAUAUGCAUACAAUAGAGAACUAGAAGAAGAAAAGGAUAUACAACACAAAAAUGGAAAACCAAGGGCAGAUACUAUACAAAAAAAUAGAAGAUAUGUUUUACAAAAUGGAGAACUAAAAGAAAUAGGAAGAAUAUACGAGGAAAAAAAAUGCUUAUUUUGUUUAUUUCAAAAAACAUUAUAAGAUAUAUUACAAAAAUAUAUAGUGCGUAGAUCUAGUAGUAUUGUUUUAAAAUAAAAAUCACAUUCUUGUGAAAUUGUUAGUUUACAUAUUUAAAUAAUAAUUAUGAAAAUAAUAAUUAUAUUACAAUACUUUUCAAUAUCCAGAUUGGGCAAUUUAGCCAAUUUACAUAUAUAAAAGUUUAAUUUCCAAAAAAAAAAAAUAAUGGUGUAGAUUUUAAAUUAAAAUCUCAUAUAAAUGCAUUUUUUCAAUUUUUUCUUUAAUAAUAAUGCUCUAAAAAAUAAAAUGCAAAUAAGACUCUUAUAUAUUUUGCCGCUUAUUUAAAAUAUAAAAUAGACUUAGAGACUAGUCGUAAGUCAAGAACAAAAUUCCUAAUAUAUAUGUCGUGCUCGACGGUCACGUGGGAACAUGGUAAUGACGACAGAGAAAUAUGAUUUUCUCACGAAAUCCUGUCGGUGUUAUGGCUGACGUUAAGGGGAAGACGUUAGAGUAUCCUUUUCUUUUCCCUAAAAUUAUUGUAAGUUAAUUUUAUUAAAUUUUUUUUAACUUUUUUGAACUUUUGUUCUAAAUUUUCUUGAUAAAAAAAAUAACGUGGUCCCAGUUUUAAUAACCAAAAAAUGGAUUCCAUGACGUGCUGGUAAGCAGGGCCGGUCCUGGGCAAAGCCGAAUGAAACAUUCGCCUAUGACCUCCAAAUUUUUUGAAAAAAACUACAUAAACAUAGGCCCCUAAAUUUUUUUAAAGGGCCUCCAAAUUUUCUUAAAUUUUUUUCAAAUGAAAUCUUUACGAAUAUCGCCUAAGGCCUCCGAAAUUUCGGGGCCGGCUGGUAGGAUGCCGGGCCACAGUGUGGAAAAAGGAAACUUUCGCCUAUGGCAGCAAAAUAUUACUAUAGUCAUUUAUAUAUUAAUUGAGAAACAUUACAACAUUUUUUUGUAGUCACGUGUCACCAUAAGAAUGAAAUUCAGAAUUCGUCCAUCUUAAAUUGUAUUAUAUUUUUAUUAAAUUAACUAUUAAAUUGAUAAAAAGUGUACAAAAAAAUAUUCUCGCACUUUUCUUAAACAAAAGCUACGGAAUUGCCUAAUAUGAUGAACAUAUAUAUGACAAUCAAUGAUUAUGAAUAAUAAAUAUUUGAUAAUAAUUUUUGUAUCUUAACUCUUUUUUGUUUAAUUUUAUAUUAUUAAAAGAUAAUAAGCAACCACAUUAAUCAUAUAAUAAAAAAUAAUAAUCUUUUUUCUUAUAUGUUAUAUUUUGAAUUUUUAAAACGACUAUAAAUUGCUAAAAACGUUUGAUGUCUCAUACUAAAUUUUUUUGAUCAAUGGUUUAACUUUUUUUAGCAAUAACAAGAUACAAAUGAUCAUAAAUCGUAUAAAUAUAAAGUCUCAUUUACUAGAUAUUCAUAUUAUAUAUUAAUUAAAAUUAAACUAUAUAACAUAGAAAAUACUUAAAUAUGAUAAUUUCUAAAUUUUUAUUGAAAAAUUAUUGAAAUCUUAAUAUUUUAAUUUUAAAAUUUGCAUUCAAAAAAUCGCACAUUAGAAAUUUCGUGGUUACCAUAUGAGUAUGAAUUCUCAAUAAUAAAUAUUUAUAUUAGAAUACACUAUAUAUCUAUGUCCUUGUCAUUGAAAUUUAGUUAUAUACCAUAUAUAAGCAACCACAUUAAUCAUAUAAUAAAAAAUAAUAAUCUUUUUUCUUAUAUGUUAUAUUUUGAAUUUUUAAAACGACUAUAAAUUGCUAAAAACGUUUGAUGUCUCAUACUAAAUUUUUUUGAUCAAUGGUUUAACUUUUUUUAGCAAUAACAAGAUACAAAUGAUCAUAAAUCGUAUAAAUAUAAAGUCUCAUUUACUAGAUAUUCAUAUUAUAUAUUAAUUAAAAUUAAACUAUAUAACAUAGAAAAUACUUAAAUAUGAUAAUUUCUAAAUUUUUAUUGAAAAAUUAUUGAAAUCUUAAUAUUUUAAUUUUAAAAUUUGCAUUCAAAAAAUCGCACAUUAGAAAUUUCGUGGUUACCAUAUGAGUAUGAAUUCUCAAUAAUAAAUAUUUAUAUUAGAAUACACUAUAUAUCUAUGUCCUUGUCAUUGAAAUUUAGUUAUAUACCAUAUAAAAUAAAUAAAAUGAUUGUUUUGAUUUAUUUACUAAAAAAAUAUCGUAAAUAAACAAGAUGUAUUGUUUUGAUUUAUGUAUUUACUCUAAUUUAAUUAUAUACAUAAGACGUAAAUAAAUACAAAUAAAUAAUAACAGAUAAAAAUUAAUAUUAUAUAUAACAUUCAUCCCGUGCAAUUGCGCGGUCUUAAGCUAGUAAUUAGGAUUUUGAAAACAUGGUUAUAAAUAUAUGGGUUUCCUAAGGAUGUAGACAAUUGUUGAUUGUUAAAUAUUAAGAGUAAUUAGAUAUAUGAUUAUAAAUUUGAAUGUCUUUUUUGAAAUAUUAGAAAAUAAAGUUGAUAACAGUUACAAAAAAAAUUGAUACAUCUUUUUUAUCUUUAUUCUAUAAUAGCAUAAAAAUAUUGAGUAAUUUAAUUAUACUAUCUUAAAAAUUAGUUCUAAAUUUUAAUAAAAAUAUUUGAUUAAUAAUCAACUAUUUUUUUAAAAAAAAUUGAAACACAAAAGAAUAUUGUUGUAUAAUUGAUAUUUUGUUAGUUAGUUUAGUUAUCUAUAUUUUCUUCCCUAUUAUAAUGUAUAUGUAUUAUUAUUAUUAUUCUAGAAAUUUUAUGAUUCGCUAUAGGCAAGCAAAAAUGUUUGCACGGGUAGGAACUACACUGCUUGAGGAUUUGGUCAACCAAAUUCUAAAUUUUCAAUUGGUUAUUUUAUUACUUUUCCUUAGGUAGCCUAGUUUACUUGUAUAAAAUUCGAGUUCAAGUCAAAAUGUAUAUUUUUAUUGGGAAAGGCCCUUAUAUAAAUAAAUAAGCUUUCAGUCAUUCUACCGAGUAUUGAUUGAUUAGUAAAUAUUUUCUGUGUUUUAAAAUAAUACAUGUAAAAACAAAUAUAAACUUAUUAAUAAAAUAUUAGAGUUUGAUUCAAGCAUCUGCGCGAAUAUUUGUUUUACUUUUUAUAAAUAAAUAUUUAUUCGUCUAAGUAAUAAUGUAUAUUUUAAAGAGAAAUUCCCUAUGAUAAAUGUCUAAUAUGAUAUUUAUAAACAGAAUAAUUUUAUAAUUUAUAUUAAUUAAUCUUGUUUUUUUAUAAUCCGAAUCACCCACAUUUUUAGAAUGUAAUCCGUAUAUCCGCACAAAUGUAUUUUUAUUUUUAUUUGUGAAUCAAAAUUUAUGAUAAUGUUUAAUAAAAUUAUCUUCUAAACUAUUUAAAAUCUGGUGCUAUAUAUUUUUUACUCUUCAAACAUUUAUCAUAUUGAAUUUAUAUAUUAUUCAUAUGAAAAUAUACGUAAAUAAUAUAUUUACAUAUCAUUUGUAUUAAAAUUUACGUAAAAUAAUAUAUUUUAUAUUUAUUUAUAUUUUAUUUUUGUGUUAUAUAAAUACAUUCAUUUUAUUACUUUUAUCUUUUAGUUAUUACUAAUAAGUAAUGAAAAAUAACUAUAUAGCUUUAAAACAAUAUUGUAUUCUAAAUUUAGUAAAUGGAUAUCAAAGUAGAUUUAGGUGGUAGAAUAUGAAUUAUUUUGUUAUUUUUAUUAGUUAGUUAUUAAUAAUAUAACAUUAAUAUAUCUAAAUUAAUUUUUGACAUGGUUUUAAGGUUGUUUCCGCAAUCAAUAUAUCAUUAUUUGUUUUUCAUGUUUAGUAAUUAGUUAUUUUAAAUCUAUGUUUUAACAUUAAUUAAUUUGAAAAUCAAUUUAAGUAUGUAUGUUUUGUUCUUAUUUGUUUUGACAAAAAAAUUAAAAAUACUAAAACUCAUGAUUAGGUAAUUUCUCAGUGACAUUAAAGUGUAAUUAAAUAACUUUUACUUUAGGAUCAAUUUAAGAAAUUAAUUAUUAAAUUAUGAAAGGAUAAAAAACUAUUUAAAUGAUUAAAUUAUUGAUAUUUUAGUUGUACUUCUAUUUUAAUAUGAUAGGUAUUAAACUUAGUUAUAAAUACUAUGUUUUAUCAUUUUAUAUUUCUUAUACUUCUAAAAAAAUACUUCAAGAAAUAUAAUUAAUGUUUUUGAAGUUUAUCAUUUUUUAUUUUUAAUUGUCAACAAAAUAUAUUAGAAAUACAAAAAUAUAUCUUUUUAAAAUAAAUUUUUUAGAACGUGUAUCUUUUUAGAAAAAAGGAGUACAUUAAAUAAUAACACUGUGUUCAUGCUCAUUGAAGGAGUAAACGAUGUAACUACUUACCAUUCAAUUAAUAUUCUCACCAAAAUCUUUGAACUUUUUUUUAUCAUUAAAAAACUUUUUUGGUAAACGUAUACAUUUUAAAUAUUUAAUGAAAUUCUAAUUUAUAAGGUUCCAAUCAUAUGCUAAUAGUCUACAUUUUCUUAAACUAAAGUCAUUUUUGCGCAAGAAUUAUACUAAUCUUCUUUUUUCACUAGCGUUCCAAUUUUAUCGAAUGUCUCCGAAAAGAUGCCAAUUGUCUACAGUUCUUCGUUAGAUCAUCUUCUUAAACCGUAGUUUUGAAUAUCACUUUCUUAUUAUCUAAGAAUAUCUACUUAAGAUUUCUUUUCACUAUCGCUUUAUUAUUAUUAUUAUUAUUAUUAUUAUUAUUAUUAUUAUUAUUAUUAUUAUUAUUAUAAAGAAGAUAUUGUUAUUAUUAAGAAGAUAUUGCACCAAAAACAGAAGACAUUGUUAGAAAUUUUGGAUCCCUUAACAUCUCAGUUUAUCAUAUUAUCCAUAUGUAUACAUAUAUACUGGAAUCAGUGGUAUAUAUUUUCAAUAUAAAUGAAUAAAUUAAGAUGAUGUGAAACAUUGUGAAUAGACUUCACAGCUGUCGAUGGAUAUUGACUACUGUCAGUAUUGAUUUUAGGACAUUCCAAAAGAAAGACAUGUUAGAAUUUGAUUUUUCUUUUCUAACCAGACGCUAGACCUGGGCAUUUUAACCUUGCCCCGAAGAUCCGAACCGGAACCGACCCAAAAAUACCCGAUCCAGAAUCGGACCGAAAAUUUACAAGUACUUUUUGGGUCUAAAUUUUUUUUAUCCGAAAGAACCGAAACCGAAAAUGAACCGACCCGAAUAGACCCGGAUCCGAAAAGAACCGACCCGAAUAGAUCCGACGCGAUAAGAACCGAUUUGUACCCGUCUUAAAAACAUGUAUAUCUAAAAACAUGAUGAUUUUGUGUUCUAUUUUAUAUAUAUUAUUUUAUGAUUUAGUUGAAAUAUCUUUUGUUAACAACAUUUAUUAUUAUUUUUUAACAUUUUUAAAGUAAUAUAAAGCUUUAAAAUAUAAAAUUUAGAGUUUUAAAAUGUUUUAUUUUAAUUAUUAAUAGUUUCAUUUAAGUUAUUUUGUAAAAUUUUAGAUAUAUAUGACAAAUAUUCAACUAAAGUUGAUGGAAUUGGGUAUAUCAUCUCAUUUUCAGAUCCUAAAUACCCGAACCCGACCCGGACCCGAUAUGGACCCGAAAAACGGGUAUUUUAUGGGUAUUUUAAUUAUAGACACGAACCGAACCGGACCCGAGAAGAACCGACCCGAACCGAAAAUUUCUAAGUACCUAUUGGAUCUAAAUAUUUAGGAUCCGAAAAGACCCGGACCCGAAAGGAACCGGCCCGAACCCGACCCGAAGACCUGAACGCCCAGGCCUCCCAGACGCUAUGUCAACGCUAUUAUAGCUCCGAAAAAACCCUAGAACAAACUAUACGAAUAAAAUGAAUAACAUAAAUCGGUACGGUAUAAUUGAAAUUUUAUAAAUUAUAGAAUAUUAGCAGUUAAAUAAAAAAACAGUACAAAAUAAAAUAUGGAUUGUAACAAAAAAUUAUCUGGAACAAAACGAAUCGUAAAAUGAUAAUUUUAUUUUAUAUUAUGCAUAUAAGAUUAUAUUUUAAAUUUCUAAAAUAACACUUUAUUUUUUAUAAAUAAAAAUUAAAUUAAAUAUAUUUUAAACAUAAUUUUUAUGUUUAAUAAAUGAAAUAAAAAAUGAUAAGAAAAAAAAAAUUCUUUAAAAUUAUGNNNNNNNNNNNNNNNNNNNNNNNNNNNNNNNNNNNNNNNNNNNNNNNNNNNNNNNNNNNNNNNNNNNNNNNNNNNNNNNNNNNNNNNNNNNNNNNNNNNNAAAAAAAAAAAAAAAAAAAAAAGAUUUAGGAAAUGCAAUUAAUAAUCAAUUUAGGAAAUGCAUUAAUAAAAUUAAAAAGACAAAGAAUAAUUAAAUGUAAGUUUAUUAAUUACUCUAGUGGCGUUCUAUUAUAAAUAAAUGAUAAAUCUUAGGGUUAUUUUUUAUUUGUACUUCUUUUUAAUAGAUUAGAUGAUGAUUGUGUUAAUUAAUAAAUACCUUUUUUGAUAUGUUGAUUGCGUAGAAAUAGGAAAAAAAAAAUAUUUGGAUGUAGUUUUGUUUUCGAAUUGAAGAAUAUUGUGUUCUGAUUUUCUGCAGUUAAUGGUAUUUCCAUGGAAGUAGGAAUCAUUAUUUGAAUAGUAUUGUGUUUUGGAAGGAAAAUAGAAUAUUUAGUUUCAAUUUUGAACCCCAAAAAAUCUAAUGAUAUCUACAAUAUACUAACUAAUAUAACUAAGAAUUUUAAAGAAAUUAAGAAAUUAUAACUUUGGUAAACACUAAAAUUGAUAAACAAUACCUUGAUUAGAUCGAAAAUGUCGAAAUUAUAAUAUUAGUAGAACCAUAAAACCGGUAAACCAAACCUUGAUUUAAUCAUUAUACACAAUAUUGUUCUGCAUAAUAGAUUUCCAAUUGUGUUGUCUAUAAUUGUUUUGCUAUGAAGAAACCUGGACUUAUCUUAAUUAUGAUCAAUCGUUUGGUUACAGGUUUACAUGAGUAUUGGUUUACGACUUCAUAUGUUUACAUGAGUAUUUGUUCCAUAUAGUAUAAGGUAGGUGAUGAGGUCAUACAUUUACAUGUGUAUUUGUUUCAUAUUAAUAUAAGGUAUGUGAUGGUUCAACAUAAUUAAUUAGAUUCUGUACGGGACAGAAUGGUUUAGUAAGGAGAACAUCGAUUUAUUUGGUUUAGCAUGAGUAUUGGUUUAGUAGCGAUAGCAACAAUUUAUUUGGUUCAGGAAAUUAAUGUGAUAGCAAAAGUGUAAAGCUAUAGUGUUUUAAUCAGUGGCAUUGGUUGGUAAUUAGUGAGGAAAACUCAGGGUUAAUUACAAAAUUUACUUCCUUUUUAAAGGAUUAGAUUUAUACACAUUAGUAUUACCACCCCGUGCUGCACACACCUCAAUCGGACAUGUCCACAGUUUCCACGGUCUGGCUAGCUUUUAUCGACGGUUUGUCAAGGACUUCAGUACCAUUGCUGCUCCAAUGACUUCUGUGAUCAAGAAGAAUGUAUCCUUUACUUGGGGUUCAGCCCAAGAAGAGUCUUUUAACAAACUUAGUUUGACUCAUGCACUGGUCCUUACUCUACCUAACUUUGAUAAAACCUUUGAGAUUGAGAGUGAUGCAUCAGGUAAAAGUAUAGGAGCUGUGCUUACUCAAGGAAGCCGACCAGUGGCCUACUUCAGUGAGAAAUUUAGUCGAGUUGUCCUCAAUUACCCGACCUAUGACAAAGAGCUUUAUGAUCUAGUAAGGUCUCUUGAAACUUGGAAACAUUAUCUUUUGUCUAAAGAGUUUGUUAUUCAUACAGAUCAUGAGACGCUUAAGCAUCUAAGAGGUCAGACCACACUCAAGAGGAGACACACCAGAUGGUUGGAGUUUGUGGAGACUUUCCCUUAUGUGAUUAAGUACAAGAAGGGCAAAGACAAUGUGGUGGCCGAUGCCUUGUCCCAGAGAUACACUCUUAUCUCGACCAUGGAAGCUAAGAUCAUGAGUUUUGAAUUUAUUAAAGAUUCUUAUGCUACUGACCUUGAUUUUCAAGAAGGUUUCAGGAACACUACACAAGGAGCAUUCAGUUCUUACUACCAACAUGAUGGUUUCUUAUUCAAGGAAAAGAAACUAGGGAAUUGCUGGUCCGGGAGGCCCAUGGUGGCGGCCUCAUGGGACACUUUGGUCGAGACAAGACCUUAAGUGUCCUAACCGACCAUUUCUUUUGGCCGAACAUGAAGAGAGAUGUUGAGAACCUAUGUGCCAAGUGUAUUGUCUGUCUUAAGACCAAAUCCAGGUCACAUCCUUAUGGUUUAUACAUGCCUUUACCUAUUCCUAACCAUCCUUGGAUAGAUGUUUCUAGAGCUUGCCCAAGACAAACCGCAAAGAUUCAAUUUUUGUAGUGGUGGACAUGUUUUCGAAGAUGGUCCAUUUCAUAGCAUGUAACAAGACCAAUGAUGCCACCCAGACAGCCGAUCUGUUCUUUAAAGAGGUGGUUCAUCUACAUGGUGUUCGCAAAACCAUCGUGUCCGACCGAGACUUCAAAUUCCUAAGCCAUUUCUGGAGAACAUUGUGGGGUAAGAUCGGUACCAAACUACUAUUCUCGACCACUUGUCAUCCACAGACCGAUGGCCAAACACAGGUAGUAAACCGUACACUUUCUCAGUUAUUGAGAGCUACGGUCGGUAAGAACUUAAAGAACUGGUUGUCUUGUUUACCGUUUAUUGAGUUUGCUUACAACCACGCUAGGCACUCUACUACUAACCUUUCUCCUUUUGAAGUUGUCUAUGGUUUUCAGCCAGAAACGCCACUCAACUUCUCCGAGCUACCCAGUCCUAUGUACCGCAGUCGAGAUGGUGCGACUAAGGCUGAGUUCGUUAAGAACAUGCACCUGAAGGUCAAGGAGAAACUGGAGGCCAAGGCGACUAGGAUCAAGGUCCGAGUCGACCAAAAGAGAAAGGAUGUGUUGUUCGAACCAGGCGAUUUGGUGUGGUUGCACAUGCGACCUGAGCGGUUCCCAGAAGAGAGGAAGUCGAAACUGUCGCCACGAGGGACUGGCCCAUUCCGGGUCCUUGGGAAGAUCAAUGACAAUGCUUACAAGCUUGAGCUUCCAGGUGAGUUUAAAAUUUCUCCAGUGUUCAAUGUAUCUGAUUUGUUCCCUUUUCUUGCAGAUGAUGGUGUUCUGAGGCCAGAACCUUUUCAAGGGGGAGGGAAUGAUGAGGCCAUCCAAGUAGAGGUUCCCAUUGUUAGACGUGGUCCAACUACCCGAAGUGGAGCCAAGGCCAUAAGAGAAUGUUUCUUCAACGUCGUCCAACAGAUCCUAGAUCAAGACGGACAAACCGGCCAUAACCAGUUGCUGAUUGAAGAGAUGGUUCAAUUGAAGAUUCAAGAUCAAGCCGGUACAACAGAGGUUCAAGAUCAAGCCGGUCCAAUUCAAUUCAAAUACUCAGCAUUGAGUAUUGAUGAGGAGCAGGAAGAUUCGGAAGAGGUACUUGAAAUAAAAGAGAUUGAAGGUAAUGAAGUAGAGGAGGGGGAAUUUUUACUAGAAGAGGAUCCUGAAGAGAGGGAUCAACAAAGGGUGAGUGAUAGUGACCUGCUGGAGGAUGAAAUUCUCGCACAGCAAGUCAAGGAAAGAGAAAAAGUGGGUGCUCAGAAAGGUCAGAAGCGCGGACAGAAGGCUAAAGCUCAGGAUGCAAAUCCAAGUAAGAGCACAAGGCCUUCUCGACGCAAACACUAAAUAUGGCGAGCUUUUUCUGGAAUGUGCGCGGAUUUAAUAAGUUGUUGAAGCAUUCCGUGAUAAAAGAGUGGGUUAGUAAUAAGGAGAUGUUGUUUGGAGGUAUUUUGGAAACUCGGGUUAAAGAAAAUAAGGCGGAGAAGAUUUUGAAGGCGGUUUUUAAUGGUUGGUCAUCUGUAACAAAUUAUGAUUGUAGUGAUGGAGGAAGAAUUUGGUUACUCUGGAGGGAUUCAGUGAGGGUAACUCCGGUAUACAAGUCGGAUCAGUUGAUUACGUGUUCUGUGGGUUUGCAAGAUGAAGAUGAGUUUUACUGUACUUUUGUCUAUGCAAAGAAUCAAGCUGAGGAAAGGAAGAGUCUGUGGGAAGAUAUCUGUCAUCAUUAUAACUCUCCUAGCUUCAGUAAUAGAGCUUGGUUGAUAAUGGGGGAUUUCAAUGAAAUAUUAGAUGGGGAGGAAAGUUCAGGUUUCUUGGACUCGGGAAGAUUGCCCAGUGGCAUGAGAGAUUUUCAACGCACGGUACUUCAUUGUCGUCUAUCUGAUAUGGGGUAUCAAGGGCCUCUUUACACUUGGUGCAAUAAGAGAGAAGAAUGUACUAUUUGUAAGAAGCUGGAUAGGGUGUUGAUGAAUGAUAAUGCUAUUCAUCGGUUUUCAAAUGCGUACUCGGUAUUUGAGCCUGGUGGCUGCUCAGACCAUGUGAGAUGUAAAAUUCAGAUUCUGCCACCUAAGGAGAAGAUUCAACGGCCUUUCAAAUAUGUCAAUAUAAUUGGAAGUCUUCCUGGUUUUCUCCCGAUGGCGAAGGAAUAUUGGGAUUCUACUGAGAGGUUGUUUCAUUCUACAUCAGCUUUAUUCAGGUUCUCUAAGAAACUAAAGAAUCUGAAACCUCUUAUUAGAGAAAUGGGUAAAGAGAAGCUUGGGAAUCUGCCAAAGAGAACUAAGGAGGCGCAUGAGGUUCUUUGUGUGAGACAGCAGAACACCCUUUCUAAUCCGAGUAGUAGUAAUAUUCAUGAGGAAGCUGAGGCUUAUGAGAGGUGGUUACAUGUUGCUGGAUUGGAAGAAGGUUUUCUACAACAGAGAGCUAAAUUACAUUGGUUGGAUGUUGGAGAUCAAAACAACAAGUCUUUUCACAAUGCUAUUAUAUCUCGGCAGGCUCAGAACACAAUUAGAGAAAUCAGAUGCUCUGAUGGUAGAAUGGUAACGAGUCAUGGGGAUAUUAAAGAAGAAGCUGUGAGAUUCUUUGAGGAUUUUUUAAAUCUCCAUCCCUCAGAGUUUAAAGGUACCUCAAAGGAUGAAUUGCAAGAGUUGAUUGAGUUUCGUUGUACUAUGGAGGAUUGUAGAAUGCUAGAGCAUGAGGUUUCUGAGGAGGAGAUUAAGAAAGUACUCUUUGCUAUGGCGUCAAAUAAGUCUCCAGGGCCUGAUGGUUUCCCUAGUGAGUUUUUCAAGACUACUUGGUCGAUUAUUGCACAUGAUUUCACAGUGGCUAUUCAAUCAGUUUUCAGGUACGGGUUUCUACCUAAGGGCGUUAAUUCAACGAUCUUAGCUCUUGUGCCUAAGAAAAUUGAUUCGUUGGAAAUGAGAGAUUUUCGGCCUAUAGCGUGUUGCAAUGUGCUAUACAAAGUAGUGUCGGAGAUUCUAGCAAAUAGACUGAAGGAGCUGCUCCCUAGAAUUGUUGCUGAGAAUCAGUCUGCGUUUGUCAAAGGGAGAUUACUUAUGGAAAAUGUCUUACUAGCUUCUGAGCUAGUAAAAGAUUAUCAUAAGGAGUCGGUUUCUCCUCGGAGUGUGAUGAAGAUAGAUAUCUCUAAAGCAUUCGAUUCUGUUCAGUGGUCUUUCGUGUUGGAGAGCUUGGAAGCCAUGGAUUUUCGUGAGAAAUUUAUACACUGGAUCAAGCUAUGCAUUACCACUCCUUCCUUUUCGGUUCAAGUGAAUGGGGAUCUAGCAGGCUACUUCCAGAGUACAAGAGGUUUAAGACAAGGCUGCUCUCUGUCUCCCUACCUGUUUGUACUUUGCAUGAAUAUUCUCUCUUUGAAGAUUGAUAAAGCUAUCUUGGAGAAGAAGUUUAAGUUUCAUCCAAGAUGUAAGUCUCUCUCACGUACUCAUCUUUGCUUUGCGGAUGAUCUGAUGGUCUUUGUGGAGGGCUCUAAGAACUCAGUAGAAGGUGUAUUAUCUGUGUUUGAAGAGUUUACUGAGUGGUCAGGUCUGAGCAUCAGUUUGGAGAAGUCCACUAUUUAUAUGGCUGGGAUUUCUGAGGGUGAAAAGUGUAGGAUCUUACAGAAUUUUCCUUUUAAGGAGGGUGAACUGCCUGUGAGAUACCUGGGGCUUCCAUUGAUGACACAAGCUAUGAAGAAGCAAGAUUACAUGCCACUGUUGGAGAAAAUUAGAAGCAGAAUCAACACGUGGUCUUGCAGGUUCCUCUCAUAUGCAGGAAGACUGCAACUUAUCCAAUCUGUCCUAAUGAGUAUAGUAAAUUUUUGGGCAGCAGUGUUUAGACUCCCGAGUCAAUGCAGCAAGGAAGUGGAACAGCUAUGUGGGGCUUUCUUGUGGACAGGUCCUGAGCUGAGAACAUCAGGAGCUAAAGUUGCUUGGAAAGAUAUCUGUAGGCUUAAGGAGGAAGGAGGAUUAGGGCUGAGAGCUCUUAAAGAUAUUAACAAGGUCUAUGGAUUGAAAAUUAUAUGGAGGAUGCUCACUGGUGAUUCUUUGUGGGGUAAAUGGAUUAAAGAAAAUCUGUUGAAGAAGAAAAUUUUUUGGGAAGUGAGUAUUAAAACUCAAGCAGGCUCUUGGAUAUGGAGAAAAUUGUUGAAGCUGAGAGAGGUAGCAAGAGUAUUCUACAGGAAAAAAAUUGGAAAUGGAAGACACACAUCAUUUUGGUAUGAUAGCUGGUCGGAUCAGGGGAGUGCUCUUUUUGUCCUUCUAGGGAGGAGGGGUAUUAUUGAUAUGGGUAUAAGAAACGAUGCUACUGUGGAAGAUGCUAUUCUUGAGUCCCGUAGAAGAAGAAGGCAUCGUACUCCGCUGCUAAUGAGUAUUGAAAAUGAAUUAAAUGCUUUGAAAGAUUCUUUGAAUGUGGAAGAGCUGGACAUUAGUCUUUGGAAGCGAGAGUCUGGUUUUAAGCAUUUAUUUUCUACUCAGGAGGCUUGGAAGUUGUUAAGAGAGCAGAAGGAUAAGUGCAGAUGGUCUCGAGGUGUUUGGUUCUCCCAAGCAACUCCUAAGUUCGCUUUCAUUAUGUGGUUGGCAACUUUGAAUAGGCUAUCUACGAUGGACAGGAUAUCGAGUUGGAAUCCAGGAGCUGACUCAACAUGUGUGUUGUGUAAGAGUGCAUCAGAGUCAAGGGAUCACCUCUUUUUUGAAUGUUCUUAUUCAUCUCAGAUUUGGGAACAUACGAUUAGAGGGGUCCUUAGAAGCUCUUAUACUAAUCGAUGGUCAAGUAUUAUGCUCUUGAUUACUGAUGGGAUACGGGACAAGAGAAAGCUUUUCUGCAUUAGCUAUGCAUUGCAAGCUGUGGUGUAUGCGGUCUGGAGGGAGAGGAACAAGGUGAAGCAUGGAAAUCAGCUUAUGCCCUUAUCAGUGUUGAAGAAACUGGUUGAUAAAGACAUUCACAACAAACUUAGUCUUUUGCAAACUAAAAGGAUUGGAGGUAUGGAGGGAGCUUUGCAGUUCUGGUUUGCUACUAGAGUUUGAGCAGAAGUUUUUGAGGGUGAAAUUUUGAGUUUGAAAUUUUGAUUAAAAAGUUGUAAUUUCUUUAUCACAAAGGAUGCACUUGAUGUAAUAAGGCUUUUUUUUAUGAAUAAAAUUUAAUUUUCAAUAAAAAUAAAAUAAAAUAUAUAUAUAUAUAUAUGUCCGUUCAUCUAAAUGUUUCAUAAAAUGUCAUGGGAUGAAAAGAUUAUAAUAUUCUCAUAGCUUAAGUGAGAUAGUUUUGUCUUUCGAUUUUUUUUUUUUAAAACACUGGAAUUUCAUUAACUUUGGAAAAUUACAAGGAUGAGAAUAUGAGAUACGGUUUUGAAAUACAAUUGCCGGCAGGUUCCAAACCUCCGGAGACGAAGCUCCAAACACGGAGAAACGAAGUCCCAAACACGGGAAGAUUAAACAAACCAGAACAAGGAAACAACCGUACUACUAUCCGCAACAAAACAUCGACCAUUCUUCAAGAAAGAGCACAAGCACAAGGACCAUAAGUUCAGAGAAACAAACAGACAUAGGAAUAAGCUUGAGGAAGAAAUCAAACCCGUCCAAUAUACUGACGAGAAGGAGAGCCUGCAUCCUUUUAUAUCGCUACAACAUCAGACCAUCGAGCCUAGUUGAGCCACAGGAGGUGAACCGGGAACCAAACCUUCAUGAGAAAGAACAGAUUUCUCCUUCAGAGACGAAGCAAACCAACUUGAAGAACAGCUUCUCUCUGCAACUAGAACGUAGAUGAUACUGAAGAGACCAGAACAAGAGGUACACUUGAUGCUGAGAACCGACGGCGACAGGACAUGAGAGCACCCCAGGACUAGGCUGAAGAGAGACAGACCACAUGCACCAAACGGACUCGGAAGGCUCUAGAAAGAUUUGGGUAACGAGAUAAUCAGAUCUAAGGUAAAACCCAGACAUGCAACAUCAAUAAACCAGAAAUCAACAAAAGCUUGAAAGCAGAAACGGAAAAGGAAACCGAACUGCUAACAAGAACUCUCAACAAGGUCGAUGAAACCCAAGAGGAGAGAAAUCAAAAGAAGAAGAUAGAUCGAUGAAGUGGGAUAAAUCUAACUACAAGAGAACACAAGAAGAAAUCCCGACGGUGACACCAAGGGCGCGCCACCGCCGGAAACCACAAACUAUGGCGGAGAAGACGAGAGGUUGUCUUUCGAUUUUAGUGGUAUAAAGAAUAAACUGCAAAAUGGUUAACUCGAUAUGGGAACAUACAUAAAUCCAAUUGAUUAAUGUACUUUAUAAUAAGAUAGAUAUAUCAAUUAUACAUCUAAAUGUAAUAUCCUUACUACGAAAACAAACUAUACAAUAUGUAAUAAA